UAAGUAACAUCCAUUUUACGGUUCACUGGGGCAGGAAGUAGGUGUUUUGUUUUUCUUUUCGACAAAGAGGUGGAAAAGAACUUGUUUCCGGUAGAGCUCGGCUUUGACAGCGUUGCGUUUCCUUCUUUUGGCGGAUUCUUUCGUUUAAGAACAUUUAAGAACAGUCGUUAAAGAGACGGUAGAAAUAACGUCUGAAUACCAACUCUGCGUUAUUAGAAAGUUUAAGGACGAUAGCCAGACGACUUUGAAGGAGAAGAAGAAGGACCGUGUUUGGUUUUAGAGAGAAGCUUCGUGAACAGGCGUCGAGCAGACAUCGCCCUCUCCCUCCGCCUUUUCUCUGACGUCGAAAUAGGGUUGAGACACUUGACACUUUUUGGUUGGGCCAAACCAUGCCGACUAAAACGGGUUUCAAGAAUUGGAUAUGGAUAUUGUUGCGGUGCACACGAAUGGCCUCAACGCUGAAAAACGUUCAGUGACAGCGGGCUGCUGACCGAGUUAGCACAAAGUGGAGGACACUGGCUGAAAUCGUAACGUGAUGUGAAGACGUACAAAGAUGAUCCACCAGUGCCGCCCAGUUUGAGGACAUUUCCAGUCACAUUAAUGGGGGACAGGAGACGCAGCUCCCAUCAGAGCUGAGUUUCUACCAGAGCCAAAUAUCAUCGACUCCUCACUGAACUCGUCCACCAGUCCAACCACUGGAAUCCAGCUGCUGCUCUCUAACUGGUCCACACAGCAGCUCAGACCUGACACAUUCACUGUAAACACACUGGUUUAUAUUCUGUUUGUUCUCCUCAUGAAGGAAACCUCACACAACCACUGAGUUCAAAUCACUGAAAGUUCAAAUGGAAAGUUAUUAUUAUUGGUUUCUUUUAUGAAGAAGCAGAAGAAGAAUGGUACCAUAAAGAUUUUAUUUAUUUUUCAUACUUAAGAGAACAAUUCUUCACCAGGCCUUUCAGAAUAAAAGCAUGACCAAGACAUAAUUUAUACAUAAACAAUAAUAAAUGGUAUGUAACUAAAAUGUAGAUGUAAUCCAUGUGUCAUGUCUUCAGUAACUUUACUGUUAUUUAUGUUAUUUCUAAGUGUGCUGUCGUCUCCACAGCAGUGAUCUGGUUUCUCUGCAGGUUCAAUAAACUUUGGUCUCACUUGA